CGUUGAUUACGUCCCUGCCCUUUGUACACACCGCCCGUCGCUACUACCGAUUGAAUGUCUUAGUGAGGUCUCCGGAUUGUCUUUCUAGGACCGGCAACGGUCUCUGAUUGCUGAAAAGCUGAUCAAACUUGGUCAUUUAGAGGAAGUAAAAGUCGUAACAAGG
rnacentral:rRNA from 1 species